rfam:Triticum aestivum genome assembly, contig: Triticum_aestivum_CS42_TGACv1_scaffold_320814_4BL
GACGUACUCCCUUCGUCCGAAAAUAUUUGUCGUUGAAAUGGAUAAAAAAAGAUAUAUCUUGAAUUAAAAUACGUCUAGAUGCGUUUACUUUUAUCUAUUUUGAUGACAAAUAUUUCCGGACGGAGGGAGUAUUUA